rnacentral:rRNA from 1 species
UGGGGAAUAUUGGGCAAUGGGCGGAAGCCUGACCCAGCGACGCCGCGUGGGGGAAGAAGUCUUUCGGGACGUAAACCCAUGUUGUACGGGACGAAGGAAGUGACGGUACCGUACGAGGAAGCCCCGGCAAACUACGUGCCAGCAGCCGCGGUAAUACGUAGGGGGCGAGCGUUGUCCGGAAUCACUGGGCGUAAAGCGCACGUAGGCGGGCUGUUAAGUCGGCCGUGAAAGGCACGGGCUCAACCGGUGCAUGUCGGACAAAACUGCCGGACUUGAGGCUGAGAGAGGAGAGCGGAAUUCCCGGUGUAGUGGUGGAAUGCGUAGAUAUCGGGAGGAACACCAGUGGCGAAGGCGGCUCUCUGGCUCAGAACUGACGCUGAGGUGCGAAAGCGUGGGGAGCGAACGG